CGCCAGACUCCUACGGGAGGCAGCAGUGGGGAAUAUUGCACAAUGGGGGAAACCCUGAUGCAGCGACGCCGCGUGAGUGAAGAAGUAUUUCGGUAUGUAGAGCUCUAUCAGCAGGGAAGAAAAUGACGGUACCUGACUAAGAAGCCCCGGCUAACUACGUGCCAGCAGCCGCGGUAAUACGUAGGGGGCAAGCGUUAUCCGGAUUUACUGGGUGUAAAGGGAGCGUAGACGGCAUGGCAAGUCAGAUGUGAAAGCCCGGGGCUCAACCCCGGGACUGCAUUUGAAACUGUCAGGCUGGAGUGCAGGAGAGGUAAGUGGAAUUCCUAGUGUAGCGGUGAAAUGCGUAGAUAUUAGGAGGAACACCAGUGGCGAAGGCGGCUUACUGGACUGUAACUGACGUUGAGGCUCGAAAGCGUGGGGAGCAAACAGGAUUAGAUACCCGAGUAAGG
rnacentral:rRNA from 1 species